UACGAAGGGGCGAGCGUUGUUCGGAAUUACUGGGCGUAAAGGGCGCGCAGGCGGCUCAGACAGUCAGAUGUGAAAGCCCCGGGCUUAACCUGGGAACUGCAUUGAUACUACUGAGCUUGAGUACGGGAGAGGAUAGUGGAAUUCCCAGUGUAGAGGUGAAAUUCGUAGAUAUUGGGAAGAACACCGGUGGCGAAGGCGGCUCACUGGCCCGUUACCGACGCUCAGGCGCGACAGCGUGGGGAGCAAACAGG
rnacentral:rRNA from 1 species